AGCGAACGCUGGCGGCGUGGAUCAGACAUGCUAGUCGAACGAGAAACUGGGGGCAACUCCAGUUGUAAAGUGGCGAAAGGGCGAGUAACGCGUGAUCAAUCUACCCUUGAGACGGGAAUAACUACUGGAAACGGUGGCUAAAGCCCGAUGCGACAGAGAAACGGCAUCGUUUUUCUUUGAAACGGAUGGGAUCUUCGGACCUUCUGCUCUUGGAAGAGGUCACGUCCUAUUAGCUAGUUGGUGAGGUAAUGGCUCACCAAGGCUUUGAUGGGUAGCCGGCCUGAGAGGGUGGUCGGCCGCACUGGGACUGAGACACGGCCCAGACUCCUACGGGAGGCAGCAGUCGAGAAUCUUCCGCAAUAGACGAAAGUCUGACGGAGCGACGCCGCGUGGAGGAUGAAGGCCUUCGGGUUGUAAACUCCUGUCACCCGUUAUGAACGACAGUACGUAAACAGCGUGCUGUGUGACAAAGGCGGGAGAGGAAGCACCGGCUAACCCUGUGC
rnacentral:rRNA from 1 species